GACGAACGCUGGCGGCGCGCCUAACACAUGCAAGUCGAACGAGCGAGAGAGAGCUUGCUUUCUCAAGCGAGUGGCGAACGGGUGAGUAACGCGUGAGGAACCUGCCUCAAAGAGGGGGACAACAGUUGGAAACGACUGCUAAUACCGCAUAAGCCCACGACCCGGCAUCGGGUAGAGGGAAAAGGAGCAAUCCGCUUUGAGAUGGCCUCGCGUCCGAUUAGCUAGUUGGUGAGGUAACGGCCCACCAAGGCGACGAUCGGUAGCCGGACUGAGAGGUUGAACGGCAACAUUGGGACUGAGACACGGCCCAGACUCCUACGGGAGGCAGCAGUGGGGAAUAUUGCACAAUGGGGGAAACCCUGAUGCAGCGACGCCGCGUGGAGGAAGAAGGUCUUCGGAUUGUAAACUCCUGUUGUUGAGGAAGAUAAUGACGGUACUCAACAAGGAAGUGACGGCUAACUACGUG
rnacentral:rRNA from 1 species